rnacentral:rRNA from 1 species
CAAAAAAAUAACACGUGGAUAACCUACCUAUAAGACUUGGAUAACUUCGGGAAACCGGAGCUAAUACCGGAUAAUAUAUUUAACCUCAUUGUUCAAUAGUUAAAUACGGUUUUGCUGUCACUUAUAGAUGGUUCCGCGCCGCAUUAGCUAGUUGGUAAGGUAACGGCUUACCAAGGCAACGAUUCGUAGCCGACCUGAGAGGGUGAUCGGCGAAACGGGAACUGAGACACGGUCAAGACUACUAAGGGAGGCAGCAGUAGGGAAUAUUACGCAAUGGGCGAAAGCCUGACGGAGCAAAGACGCGUGAGUGAUGAAGGUCUUUGGUUUUUUAAAUGAUACGACGACCACAGAAAUAAACACGUAAGG